rnacentral:rRNA from 1 species
GGAGUCUGGGCCGUAUCUCAGUCCCAAUGUGCCCGAUCACCCUCUUAGGCCGGGUAACUAUCGUUGCCUUGGUGGGCCGUUACCUCACCAACUAGCUAAUAGUACGCGGGCCGCUCUCUGUGCGAAUCAAAAGAUCCUUUCCUGCAGCACCUCUGACAUGCCGCAGCGUAUCCGGUAUUAUCUGCUAUUUCUAGCAGCUGUCCCCGUCACAAAGGUACGUCACCCACGCGUUACUCACCAGUCCGCCGCUCUAGGUCAGGAGCAAGCUCCCGACUUACCGCUCGACUUGCAUGUGUUAGGCCUGCCGCUAGCGUUUAUC